rnacentral:rRNA from 1 species
AGGGGGCUAGCGUUGUUCGGAAUUACUGGGCGUAAAGCGCGCGCAGGCGGCUAUCCAAGUCAGUGGUGAAAGCCCGGAGCUCAACUCCGGAACUGCCAUUGAAACUGUUUAGCUUGAGGACGAGAGAGGUGAGUGGAAUUCCCAGUGUAGAGGUGAAAUUCGUAGAUAUUGGGAAGAACACCGGUGGCGAAGGCGGCUCACUGGCUCGUUUCUGACGCUCAGGCGCGAUAGCGUGGGGAUCAAACAGG